rnacentral:rRNA from 1 species
GACGAACGCUGGCGGCGUGCUUAACACAUGCAAGUUGUACGGUAAGGCCCUUUCGGGGGUACACGAGUGGCGAACGGGUGAGUAACACGUGAGUAACCUGCCUACAACUUUGGGAUAACGCUAGGAAACUGGUGCUAAUACUGGAUAUGUGCUCCUGCUGCAUGGUGGGGGUUGGGAAGCUCCGGCGGUUGUGGAUGGACUCGCGGCCUAUCAGCUUGUUGGUGGGGUAGUGGCCUACCAAGGCGGCGACGGGUAGCCGGCCCGAGAGGGUGACCGGCCACAUUGGGACUGAGAUACGGCCCAGACUCCUACGGGAGGCAGCAGUGGGGAAUAUUGCACAAUGGGCGCAAGCCUGAUGCAGCAACGCCGCGUGCGGGAUGACGGCCUUCGGGUUGUAAACCGCUUUCAGCAGGGACGAAGCUUUUUGUGACGGUACCUGCAGAAGAAGCACCGGCUAACUACGUG